rnacentral:rRNA from 1 species
AGUGGGGGAUAACGUAGCGAAAGUUACGCUAAUACCGCAUAUGCCCUGAGGGGGAAAGGUGGGGAUCGUAAGACCUAUCGCUUUCGGAGUGGCCGAUAUCAGAUUAGCUWGUUGGUGAGGUAAAGGCUCACCAAGGCGACGAUCUGUAGCUGGUCUGAGAGGACGACCAGCCACACUGGGACUGAGACACGGCCCAGACUCCUACGGGAGGCAGCAGUGGGGAAUUUUGGACAAUGGGGGCAACCCUGAUCCAGCCAUGCCGCGUGAGUGAAGAAGGCCUUCGGGUUGUAAAGCUCUUUCGGACGGAAAGAAACGGCUACGGCUAAUACCCGUGGCUAAUGACGGUACCGUCAGAAGAAGCACCGGCUAACUACGUGCCAGCAGCCGCGGUAAUACGUAGGGUGCGAGCGUUAAUCGGAAUUACUGGGCGUAAAGCGUGCGCAGGCGGUUUUGUAAGACAGGUGUGAAAUCCCCGGGCUUAACCUGGGAACUGCAUUUGUGACUGCAAGGCUAGAGUAUGGCAGAGGGGGGUAGAAUUCCA